ACGGCACGAGGAUGUUGC
rnacentral:miRNA from 1 species